CAUUGAAUCUAGAUUUAUCUUCAUCAAUGUCUAUGAAAAUACAGUUAUGUAACAUUGAUGCGCAACCAUGAAAAUACUGUUGAUAUUAUUGUGCAACCAUGGAAAACACUGUUUACAUUGAUGUGCAAUAGUAUAUAUUUGUUAUAUACAUACUACAUGUUUAUUGUAUUGAUAUGCAUUUUUUGUGACACACUUCUUGAAUUUUACUAUAGGCGAUAUUUACCAGUAUCAGAAAUUUUGCUGCUAAGUCUAUGUAUCAAUAUAUGUGUAUGUGUAUUUGACUUGUAUUGUUUUAUAACCAUUCAUAUUUAGGGCGUGACAUUUUUAUAGUUUUUCGCUGUUGCCUUUUUCAAAAGGGGGAGGGGUAGUUGAAAAGUUGUUAAUUUUGUAUGAAAAACUGAUGACAAGUUGAAAAAAGUAUUGUAACAUUUCUAGCAAUUAAUUUAUUUUGUAAAUAAGGCUCCAGGAUUUUAAAGGGUUUUAAUGUUUUUUUUGAUAAAACAUGUACCAGUGUAUAUAUUUUUUCACAAUCAGGGCAUACAUUCCAGCUUGAACAGAAGCUUCAUUGUAUUAAUUAUAUUUUUUUUUAUUAUUGUUAGUAGUUGAUUUUGCAUUUCUUUAUCUGUUAUAAAUAAACUUUACCUUUUUAACUUUAUUUUUGUGUAUAUGAAGAAAGGGAGAUGUUGGUUAUACAUCAAUGAGACCCAGUUACACAAAUUCUUAGGAUAAAAUGAGGUCAUUUUCUAUUAGAGAAACACA
rnacentral:lncRNA from 1 species